rnacentral:lncRNA from 1 species
AGAACAUUCCUGCCACUUCAGUUCAACAGCCAUCUGAAGCCCACCUGUGAGCUGGUCCAGGAAAUGAUGGACUCUGAUUUCCACACCCCUUUCCUGUGAACUUGUCUCCAAUUUAGUCUGUCAAGGUCCCUUUCUUGUGAGUUAAUUUCUCCCUAGUGCUACUUCUCAGAUUGGCCAGUGACUCACAGAGUGGCACAAGUACAAAUCCAGCCUGCCUUGCAUCCAACACAGAUUCCAGGACCACUGAAACCAGCUGAGGCAUCCUGAAAGCCUAAGAUUGACCACACCAGAGGAACCAGACUGCCCUUCACAAGGAUGGAAAUUAUCUGGUUCCACCCCUGGAUAUGAUCAACCUUCAUAGACUGUGCAUUAUACAUGUAGCCAUCUCUGCGACCUGCAAAGAUGAAAAGGGAAAGCAGGAGAUGGAAACUGGUCAGCAGCCUUCUGGUUUAUCAGCCACACUUACAAAGGUCAAAUGUGCAAAGCGUCAGAAGACAGUGGUUAGAGUGAGAUUCUACAUGCUCUCAAUGAAGAAUAAAGCAUGCAGGAAGAACCUUUCAAAAGGUUACAACCAGAGACCUGAAGGAAGCAAGGAAGAAAGCCACAUGGUUGUCAAAGAGAAGAGGAAAGGAGAUCACUAAGCUGGAUGACGUUUUCUGUUUCUUUGAAAACAGAGAAGAUGACAAGUUAGGGAGAGAUCAGAGGUCAUACUGUGAAGCACCUUUGGAUAAACGGCAGGGACUUUGGAUUUUCUUUUUGAAUAUAAGCAUAAUCCAUUGAAAGGUCUCAUGCAGGGAAGUGGCAAAACACUUUUAAAAUUUUUCAUCUUUUCUUUCUGAAGCAGAGUUCACUCUCCAUUUAUUUGUCUUCUUUGAUAUCUCUCAAUAGAAUGUUGCAGUUUUAGUAUUCUCCUAUUAAACAUUUGUUUAACUUUCUUGUUCUUCUAAAUAAUAA